rnacentral:rRNA from 1 species
AUGAACGCUGGCGGCGUGCCUAAUACAUGCAAGUCGAGCGAACGGACGAGAAGCUUGCUUCUCUGAUGUUAGCGGCGGACGGGUGAGUAACACGUGGAUAACCUACCUAUAAGACUGGGAUAACUUCGGGAAACCGGAGCUAAUACCGGAUAAUAUUUUGAACCGCAUGGUUCAAAAGUGAAAGACGGUCUUGCUGUCACUUAUAGAUGGAUCCGCGCUGCAUUAGCUAGUUGGUAAGGUAACGGCUUACCAAGGCAACGAUGCAUAGCCGACCUGAGAGGGUGAUCGGCCACACUGGAACUGAGACACGGUCCAGACUCCUACGGGAGGCAGCAGUAGGGAAUCUUCCGCAAUGGGCAAAAGCCUGACGGAGCAACGCCGCGUGAGUGAUGAAGGUCUUCGGAUCGUAAAACUCUGUUAUUAGGGAAGAACAUAUGUGUAAGUAACUGUGCACAUCUUGACGGUACCUAAUCAGAAAGCCACGGCUAACUACGUG